rnacentral:rRNA from 1 species
UACAGAGGGUGCGAGCGUUGUUCGGAAUUACUGGGCGUAAAGAGCGUGUAGGCGGUCUAGCAAGUCAGAUGUGAAAGCCCGGGGCCUAACUCCGGAAGUGCAUUUGAAACUGCUAGGCUUGAGUGAUGUAGAGGUUGGCGGAAUACCCAGUGUAGAGGUGAAAUUCGUAGAUAUUGGGUAGAACACCGGUGGCGAAGGCGGCCAACUGGGCAUUAACUGACGCUGAGACGCGAAAGCGUGGGGAGCAAACAGG